rnacentral:lncRNA from 1 species
CUGGCUGGGGACUCUGCUGACAUAAUCUAAUGUUUUGCUUUCGUUGUAAAGCCUUUUUGAAAUCGGACAGUGUGGUUAGAUUAACGAGAGUCUUAUCUUUAACCUGUUGGGGCUCGGGGGCAGUAUUGAGAAAUUUUGAAAAAAAUAUGUGCCCAUUUUUAACUGCCUCCUACACCAACUCAGAAGCUAGGAUAUGCAUAUUAUUAACACAUUCGGAUAGAAAACACUCUGAAUUUUCUAAAACAGUUUGAAUGGUGUCUGUAAGUAUAACAAAACUCAUAUUGCAGGCAAAAACCUGUGAAAAAUAGAUUUAAAAAAAAAUGAAUUUUGUGACUGUACUAUUUAGUGUCAUUGUUUUAUAGAUACCAUAGUGAGAAAGGAUUCAUUUCGCAACUCCUACGGCUUCCACUAGAUGUCAACGAUCUUUAUAAAGUUGUUUGAAGCGUCUAUGAUAAACAGAGAGAAAAUUAGAAUGCAAGGAAGUUGACAUGUCGUCACUUCAUUUUUUUGCGCCUGCGCACAAAUCUGAGAAGCGUGAGUUUGUCAUAAUUGUUUAUCUAGACAUAGGAUAGGUUGUGUGAAAAUAUUACUGAUGUUUAACGUUAAAAAUGGACCAAAAGAUUAAUGCUAAACAACGUUUGACAUGUUUGAACGAACGUAAAUAGAUUAUUUACUAGGUUUUUUUAGCUUUUCGGCGUGAUUUUACACCCCCCCCCACCACGUUUUGUGGGAGCAUAAUGAACGCUAACUACUUGGUGUUAUUUGGACAUAAAUUAUGAACUUUGUCAAAAGAAACCACAUUUGUUCCGGACCUGGGAUUCCUGGCUAAGAAACUGGAGUGGUGGUGGGGGUGAAGGCAAACUUUGAUGAGAAGGCCUCUCUCCCCCUUGUUGAGAGGAGUGCAGGGGGAGCUCAGGCUUGUUCUUUUUAACUUUGCCAACCAUGGGGAUCUUCCUCUUCAGGAGCUGCUGGAUGAGUUCAUAAGAGGUGAAGAAAUUGUCACACGUGACAUUGUGCCCCCUCAGUCCAUCUGUCACAUCAAG